AUUGAACGCUGGCGGCAGGCUUAACACAUGCAAGUCGAGCGGAGAUGAGGUGCUUGCACCUUAUCUUAGCGGCGGACGGGUGAGUAAUGCUUAGGAAUCUGCCUAUUAGUGGGGGACAACAUUCCGAAAGGAAUGUUAAUACCGCAUACGUCCUACGGGAGAAAGCAGGGGAUCUUCGGACCUUGCGCUAAUAGAUGAGCAUAAGUCGGAUUAGCUAGUUGGUGGGGUGAAGGCCUACCAAGGCGACGAUCUGUAGCGGGUCUGAGAGGAUGGUCCGCCACACUGGGACUGAGAAACGGCCCAGACUCCUCCGGGAGGUAGCAGUGGGGAAUAUUGGACAAUGGGGGGAACCCUGAUCCAGCCAUGCCGCGUGUGUGAAGAAGGCCUUAUGGUUGUAAAGCACUUUAAGCGAGGAGGAGGCUACUGAGACUAAUACUCUUGGAUAGUGGACGUUACUCGCAGAAUAAGCACCGGCUAACUACGUGCCAGCCGCCGCGGUAACAC
rnacentral:rRNA from 1 species